rnacentral:rRNA from 1 species
CGCUGGCGGCGUGCCUAACACAUGCAAGUCGAACGGAACUAUUUGACUGAUCCUCGGGAUGAAGAAUUCUAGUUAGUGGCGGACGGGUGAGUAACGCGUGAGUAACCUGCCUCUGAGAGGGGAAUAACGUUCUGAAAAGAACGCUAAUACCGCAUAACACAUAUUUGCCGCAUGACAGAUAUGUCAAAGAUUUUAUCGCUCGGAGAUGGACUCGCGUCCGAUUAGUUAGUUGGUGAGGUAACGGCUCACCAAGACCGCGAUCGGUAGCCGGACUGAGAGGUUGAACGGCCACAUUGGGACUGAGACACGGCCCAGACUCCUACGGGAGGCAGCAGUGGGGGAUAUUGCGCAAUGGGGGCAAACCCCCUGACGCAGCAACGCCGCGUGAAGGAUGAAGGUUUUCGGAUUGUAAACUUCUUUUAUCAGGGACGAAAUUUGACGGUACCUGAUGAAUAAGCUCCGGCUAACUACGUGCCAGCCGCGGC